rnacentral:tRNA from 1 species
GGGGAUUUAGUUCAGAGGUAGAGCGCUUGCCUAGCAAGCGCAAGGCCCUGGGUUCGAUCCCCAGCUCCG